rnacentral:tRNA from 1 species
GCCUCGGUAGCGCAGUAGGUAGCGCGGCAGUCUCAUAAUUCCUCAAAAGAGCAAUCUGAAGGUCGUGAGUUCGAUCCUCACCCGGGGCA